rnacentral:rRNA from 1 species
GAAUCGCUAGUAAUCGUGGAUCAGAAUGUCACGGUGAAUACGUUCCCGGGCCUUGUCACACCGCCCGUCACACCAUGGGAGUGGACUGCACCAGAAGUGGUUAGCCUAACUUCGGAGGGCGAUCACCACGGUGUGGUUCAUGACUGGGGUGAAGUCGUAACAAGGUAGCCGUAGGGGAACCUGCGGCUGGAUCACCUCCUU